AACAGGGAAGUAAGAUGAGGUGAGAGAAAACGGGAGAUUUUGAGGCUUUUCCUGCCACAGUUGAAAUAUAUCUGAUGGUCAAGGAAAGGUGACAAGGGGGACAGGCCCACAUAAAUCUAUAAGAUGACUGAAAUCAUGAAGGAUCUUGCUCAAAUGGAUGCAUGCCUAGACUAGCAGAAGUCAAAGCCUCCAGGAAGAAAACUGAGAAACAACAUCUCAAAUAUGAAAUCUAUUUGACCUGGUAAAAGUUGCCUGACCCAAGUUCAUAUGCAAAGAACACAGAGUGUGAAAGUAGCUUAUGCACAAUUAACACAGCAGUGAGAAGAGGAGAUGAAUGGAGAGUAGGAACAGAAUAUUAUCCUUCCUUGUAGACUCGAGCAAAAGCAAGCUACCACAACUUCUUCUAGAUUGUGUGUUCUUCCUCAGUAAUAUCCUUGCCCUUUUGGCCAUGUUCUGAUGUUGAUCCUGGUUUCCAUUUGUGUGAUGGAAGAUAUUAUGACAUUGUGAUGGAGGAGCCUAAGAACUUGGCUGGAGGAGUUUAAAACAGCCAGAAAUGAAGGGUUAUGGGGUCAGUCUCUAAACCGGGGAAGAGCAUUCCACAGUAUCCAUAGAACUCUUCUCUGGCACAAGAGCAACCAUAUUAACUGUUGAAAUUCCAGAACAUGAAUAUUUUGACUGAACCAGAUUUGUGACUUGAAUCUCCUCCUGUUCCCGACAGCCUUAUCAUCAGUCAAUGCUAACUCAGCCUGAAGUCAAUUGACCUUGUUCUGUAGAUACCCUGACUGUAUUCUAGAGAUAAAAACAGAUCUGGUGGUAAACAUGGGCCUGGUUCCAGAUUUGAUUAUCUUCCCCUCUCUGUUCCAGUCUUCACAUCUCCCAUCACAAAACAUUGCAUAUAUUCUGUUUUAUUUCAGGUUUUCUCUGAAAUAAACUCUGAAUUUUCACUGUGGGGAAUUCACAGAGGCUACAACUGCAAUCUUCCUUUCCACAAUCUGUGCAUAUUACAGCUUAGGAAGUGACAAGUUAAAGCCUUUGCUUCAAAGAUUUACCAGUCAUCACACUCUUAAAUACAAAUAUAUACAGGACUUUCUCCCUGGAAAAGGCAGUAAACUUCUUCAACACUUUAGAUUUUUAAAUUAGAGAAACUCCACAAUGACAGAUGCUCUCUUUUUGAAUUUUUAUUUUGUGAUCACAGUCUGUCUGCCCUAAAUUUCAUAUGUGUGUGUUCUAAAACAUUAUAUUUUUAGAUCAUCCACAAAUAAGAUGCACUUUUUAUGAGACAGACAUUGUAAUGGAAAGCCUUUGGAUAGUUAUUAUUACAACAGAUACAUUUGCCUUUUUCAUGAGACAGAUUCUGCCAGCUUUCGUCAUGACAUGGUUUUCCUUAGGGACUUUGUGAUCCAACAUAUGUAACUGUACAAAUCCACUGUGUAUCUAUUCUGCCAAUCCACAUUC